rnacentral:lncRNA from 1 species
AGCAGACUGCAGAGAACGGAGUGCAGGAAGAUUCCCAAAGAGAGCCUCGGGAUGAACGCCUACGGAGAAGGUGGCAGUGGGAUCAGGCAGAUGGAGAGGCUGGCUGCGAUGCAGUCACAACCAGGCCUCCACUGAGCCCACGAGGAACCCUGAAACUGGGAUGGCCCUUCAGAGUUAUCCCCAGCUGGAGCAUGGACCAGGCCUUUACAUCUUCCCCUUCGAUCAGACAGGAGGUCCCAUGUGGAUUCUGGAAUCAGAAAAGCCUGCUUCCUGAGUUUGAAUCCAGUCUUCAUCCUUCAACUGUGGGACCCUGGACAAGAACCAACAUCUUCCAGCAGAGACCACCAAGAACACACUUGUGGUUGAAUAAGCCAGGUUUAUUAAUUACUGCAGUGAGAGAGAAUACACACCAGGGUGUCUUAGUAAGAGGGAGUUAGACAAAACCUAUGAUAGAAUUGGGGUUGGUAUGAGAGAUUUGGG